CCCACCCAGCUCUGUAACUCUAUCUUGUAGAGCAAAAUAUUCUCCAUUGUGAAAAAGGAUGUUUGUGAGAGGGAGUAUAAAUAGACUUUCCUCUAAAUCUUUAUAUAAUUCACUUGCGUAAGACCCUGGGGGAGGUAAGAGGUGUAAACACAUGCCCUGUGGGUGUUAUUCCAGCCUCCAGGCUGGAAUUAUGACACAGACAUUUAGACAGCCUGCUUGAUAGACUGGUUCAACAAGUCUGUUUAAAUGUAAGUAAAGCUUUUGCAUCAUCCUACACGAUUUUCUAUUUCUCCAAAUCACCCUCUAUAUUUAAAUAUUUAAUGCUGGCUGUUCUGUCCUGCAUUUCUUUCCCUAGAUCUUGUCUGAACAUGCUGUCCUUUGUCACUGAAAAUGAGUAUGUGCAGCAGACCUUGCAUUGACCUUCUGGACAGUUCUUGCACAUAAUUCAGAGAAUUUGACUGUAAGACUCAGAAAACGUUGCUGUCCUUGUUUUCAUCUGGAUGUCUCUAUAUCCUAUGUAUACCCAGCAUAAACUAGAUGUUUCCCUUUGGUUGACCAUCUACUAAGGUGGGACAUACCAAUUAGUCUACAUGGUAUAUGAAAUUAUGCUUCUUAAACUACACAAGUGACUGAGAAUUUGGUAAGUUGCCACCAUGCUAAGUAGGACUUGAUAGAUUUCAAGUCAUGUCUUGACAUUGAUUUAAU